AUGGCAAGACUGAGCUCCUGUCUCUUUACUUUGCUCCUGCUGCUUUCAUUCUCCAUGUGCGAGACUCGGCCGUUGAGGAUUCAUCCAUUUUCUUUUCAUUUCCAUGCUAGCUCUGACAUCUUUGGUACAGUCAAGCACUACCUUUAUUCAGGAUCAAAAGCCAGAAGCCUGCCAAAGAUAGAUAAAACAUCGAACACAAGUGCUAAGGUCUCUUUUAGCAUUGGCUUCAGAAAGAGCAAUGCAACAAGAAACAAGUACUUUAAACCCCUUCGAGUCAGCCCAGGAGGCCCAGAUGCACACCAUCACUUCAAAGUAACUGGAGGACAUGGGAGGAGAUAG